CAUUCUAUUUUCCUCUUCUCUCUGUUCUUCAUAUCCAUUAUCACGUCUCUCUAGGGUUUUCCUUUUCAGACUUUCACAACUCUUUUGCAGUUUUAUAGCUAAUAUGCUUUUUUGUGUUUUUGGUGAAAUUGUUUGUUUCAGGGUUUUAGGAAGAAAAGCAUAAUCAGAGGAGAAAUAGAAGAAAAAGCAGGACUGUGUCUUAAAAACUAUCUCUAAUGUCCAAAGACCUGUUGACCAGGCCUGCCGCAUGCGUGUAGUCACUCUUAAUAAUCUCAGGUGACAUAGCGUAGGUUAGCUGUAGAACAGUCAAGUAUAAAGUGUAUGUGCACCACUAAAAUAGAUUAAAGGAGUAUGUUACCACAUGGGUGUAGUUUUCGUGUUGUUUAUUAAAAUACUUCUGCAGACACUAAUUGUUUUUUCGUCAUCUAUCUUUGUUUGUUUUUAUUUUUCAUUAUUUUUUGUCGUCAAUCCGCAUGGACAUUUGCACUGCAGGUCGAGUAUGUUCCCCACUUGCUUUAAAGAAUAUGGCUUGCUGUUCAAAGUCAAGUCUGUGGUUUAUUUGAUAAAUUCGUUUGUACUUUGGCUUCCUUCUUCUUUUGCAAUGUCAUUUUCUUUUUUCUGUAAUCAAACCAUGCCAUUUAAAGUGAUAUGUGACAGUAUCCUAUCGACUGGCCUGUUUCUAAUUCCAAUGAAGUCGCUAUUUUGAUUCUAAUCAGAGAAACUACCAUAUGUAUUUGAGCAUUUUUGCUACUGCGUAGUGGGAAAGAUGCAUGGGGAAUUAGAGGAAGAAUAAAUGGAAACUCCUCUAUCAAGGAGAGGAUUUGAAAGGUUUGUCAGAUAUCAUCUUGGUCAUGAUUUUCGACUCCAAAUAGAGUGAACCAAAGCAAAAAAAAAUCUCUUUUCCAGAGUCAGAAUACCAAGGGAUUGGAAGAAACCUAACUGAAGGACUGUGGGAAGAAGCCUCAGAAGCUAUCUAAAUCGUUGGGAAUUCCAAGGGUGUUGUCUUGGAUGACCCAUCUAGGCCACUGCUCUCUGUUGGUUGUGGAAAAUCGAAGCUCAAAAUCUUGCUAUAAGUCCAUCUCACAUUGGGUCUAAAUUGGGUCAAUUGGUUAUGAAGAAAACAUGGUGGGAUUGGUGGAGGAGGACCGGGAUGAAGAGAUGGCAUUGCUGUAGAGGGGUAUUCCGCGAGUUAACAUCAUGAAGAUUGAUUAGCAUCAGAACGGGAAGAGGGGAAGCCACAGGACACUAAAUCAAAAAUGCGUCCAGAUAGGGCGAGGUGAAGCCGAGCCACAACAAAUCAAAAUCUUAAGCAGCGGGACGAGGCGAACCCACAUCACACCAAAUCAAAUAUAUUAGUUGAUCCAUAGGUAAAAAUGCAUCGACAGGAAGAGGCGAAACUGCACGACACCGAAUCAAAAUUGCACGACGGGGCGAGGCGAAGCCACAUCACACCAAACCAAAAAUAUUAGUCUAUCCAUAGGCAAAAACAUCGAUAGGGAGAAGCUAACCUGUGCGAAACCAAAUAAAAAAUGCUUCGGGACAGGGAGAAGCGAAGCCACACCAAAUAAAAAAUCCGAAGCGACGGGGCGAGGCGAAGCCAAAUCAAAAAUGCAUUGAUUUGGUUAAAAGAAAAAAAUGCCCAAUCCGUAGAACGAGCAUAAAAUCUAGUUGGUCUCAAAACGCAAGAAAAAAGGAAGGUGUGAUGUGGUUCUCGUGAAAACAGGGCAAGAGAGAAGUUAUGGGAAGUUGGUUUAUUUUUGGUAAAUACGUGGAGGAAUGGGAAGACAUUAUUCUCUGGAGAUUUGUUUACACUCGGUGAGAGUUUUGACGCGUAGGAGAAGAACAGAAAAGGAAAUAUAUUACCGAGACUUUCUGUAUAACGAAAAGAGGAUAUGGUGGAAAUAUUUGAGAACCAUGUUGUGUAUAUAAGGGUUGCUGAGAGCUACAUCAAGGCUGGUCGAGAGUUUUGGGGUCGUUGGGAGAAGCUGCAGAGUCAAGAACUAAAGCUGCAUGCGAGUUCCGGAGAAGAGGAAGAAGAACUAGAGAACAACACUUAAAGAUAGUCGCAGAAACCGUUAGCUAUUCUUUCAAAUUCAAUACCUUUGUAACAGUUUUGCAACAAUUCCUGUAACAGUAGACUCUGUAACAGUGAGUUCUGUAAUAAUUAUAUCUGUUACAAACCCGCUGCUUUAUUA